UUAAGCGACUAAGCGUACACGGUGGAUGCCCUGGCAGUCAGAGGCGAUGAAGGACGUGCUAAUCUGCGAUAAGCGUCGGUAAGGUGAUAUGAACCGUUAUAACCGGCGAUUUCCGAAUGGGGAAACCCAGUGUGUUUCGACACAUUAUCAUUAACUGAAUCCAUAGGUUAAUGAGGCGAACCGGGGGAACUGAAACAUCUAAGUACCCCGAGGAAAAGAAAUCAACCGAGAUUCCCCCAGUAGCGGCGAGCGAACGGGGAGCAGCCCAGAGCCUGAAUCAGUGUGUGUGUUAGUGGAAGCGUCUGGAAAGGCGCGCGAUACAGGGUGACAGCCCCGUACACAAAAAUGCACAUGCUGUGAGCUCGAUGAGUAGGGCGGGACACGUGGUAUCCUGUCUGAAUAUGGGGGGACCAUCCUCCAAGGCUAAAUACUCCUGACUGACCGAUAGUGAACCAGUACCGUGAGGGAAAGGCGAAAAGAACCCCGGCGAGGGGAGUGAAAAAGAACCUGAAACCGUGUACGUACAAGCAGUGGGAGCACGCUUCGGCGUGUGACUGCGUACCUUUUGUAUAAUGGGUCAGCGACUUAUAUUCUGUAGCAAGGUUAACCGAAUAGGGGAGCCGAAGGGAAACCGAGUCUUAACUGGGCGUUAAGUUGCAGGGUAUAGACCCGAAACCCGGUGAUCUAGCCAUGGGCAGGUUGAAGGUUGGGUAACACUAACUGGAGGACCGAACCGACUAAUGUUGAAAAAUUAGCGGAUGACUUGUGGCUGGGGGUGAAAGGCCAAUCAAACCGGGAGAUAGCUGGUUCUCCCCGAAAGCUAUUUAGGUAGCGCCUCGUGAAUUCAUCUCCGGGGGUAGAGCACUGUUUCGGCAAGGGGGUCAUCCCGACUUACCAACCCGAUGCAAACUGCGAAUACCGGAGAAUGUUAUCACGGGAGACACACGGCGGGUGCUAACGUCCGUCGUGAAGAGGGAAACAACCCAGACCGCCAGCUAAGGUCCCAAAGUCAUGGUUAAGUGGGAAACGAUGUGGGAAGGCCCAGACAGCCAGGAUGUUGGCUUAGAAGCAGCCAUCAUUUAAAGAAAGCGUAAUAGCUCACUGGUCGAGUCGGCCUGCGCGGAAGAUGUAACGGGGCUAAACCAUGCACCGAAGCUGCGGCAGCGACGCUUAUGCGUUGUUGGGUAGGGGAGCGUUCUGUAAGCCUGCGAAGGUGUGCUGUGAGGCAUGCUGGAGGUAUCAGAAGUGCGAAUGCUGACAUAAGUAACGAUAAAGCGGGUGAAAAGCCCGCUCGCCGGAAGACCAAGGGUUCCUGUCCAACGUUAAUCGGGGCAGGGUGAGUCGACCCCUAAGGCGAGGCCGAAAGGCGUAGUCGAUGGGAAACAGGUUAAUAUUCCUGUACUUGGUGUUACUGCGAAGGGGGGACGGAGAAGGCUAUGUUGGCCGGGCGACGGUUGUCCCGGUUUAAGCGUGUAGGCUGGUUUUCCAGGCAAAUCCGGAAAAUCAAGGCUGAGGCGUGAUGACGAGGCACUACGGUGCUGAAGCAACAAAUGCCCUGCUUCCAGGAAAAGCCUCUAAGCAUCAGGUAACAUCAAAUCGUACCCCAAACCGACACAGGUGGUCAGGUAGAGAAUACCAAGGCGCUUGAGAGAACUCGGGUGAAGGAACUAGGCAAAAUGGUGCCGUAACUUCGGGAGAAGGCACGCUGAUAUGUAGGUGAGGUCCCUCGCGGAUGGAGCUGAAAUCAGUCGAAGAUACCAGCUGGCUGCAACUGUUUAUUAAAAACACAGCACUGUGCAAACACGAAAGUGGACGUAUACGGUGUGACGCCUGCCCGGUGCCGGAAGGUUAAUUGAUGGGGUUAGCGCAAGCGAAGCUCUUGAUCGAAGCCCCGGUAAACGGCGGCCGUAACUAUAACGGUCCUAAGGUAGCGAAAUUCCUUGUCGGGUAAGUUCCGACCUGCACGAAUGGCGUAAUGAUGGCCAGGCUGUCUCCACCCGAGACUCAGUGAAAUUGAACUCGCUGUGAAGAUGCAGUGUACCCGCGGCAAGACGGAAAGACCCCGUGAACCUUUACUAUAGCUUGACACUGAACAUUGAGCCUUGAUGUGUAGGAUAGGUGGGAGGCUUGGAAGUGUGGACGCCAGUCUGCAUGGAGCCGACCUUGAAAUACCACCCUUUAAUGUUUGAUGUUCUAACGUUGACCCGUAAUCCGGGUUGCGGACAGUGUCUGGUGGGUAGUUUGACUGGGGCGGUCUCCUCCUAAAGAGUAACGGAGGAGCACGAAGGUUGGCUAAUCCUGGUCGGACAUCAGGAGGUUAGUGCAAUGGCAUAAGCCAGCUUGACUGCGAGCGUGACGGCGCGAGCAGGUGCGAAAGCAGGUCAUAGUGAUCCGGUGGUUCUGAAUGGAAGGGCCAUCGCUCAACGGAUAAAAGGUACUCCGGGGAUAACAGGCUGAUACCGCCCAAGAGUUCAUAUCGACGGCGGUGUUUGGCACCUCGAUGUCGGCUCAUCACAUCCUGGGGCUGAAGUAGGUCCCAAGGGUAUGGCUGUUCGCCAUUUAAAGUGGUACGCGAGCUGGGUUUAGAACGUCGUGAGACAGUUCGGUCCCUAUCUGCCGUGGGCGCUGGAGAACUGGGGGGGGCUGCUCCUAGUACGAGAGGACCGGAGUGGACGCAUCACUGGUGUUCGGGUUGUCAUGCCAAUGGCACUGCCCGGUAGCUAAAUGCGGAAGAGAUAAGUGCUGAAAGCAUCUAAGCACGAAACUUGCCCGAGAUGAGUUCUCCCUGACUCCUUGAGAGUCCUGAAGGAACGUUGAAGACGACGACGUUGAUAGGCCGGGUGUGUAAGCGCAGCGAUGCGUUGAGCUAACCGGUACUAAUGAACCGUGAGGCUUAACCUU
rnacentral:rRNA from 1 species